GAUCGUCUGCGGAGAAGUCUGCUUGAAUCGGAUCGCUAGAUAGAAGCUUCUGGAUCUGUUGCUGUCCGGAACGAAGAAUCCCAGCUCGAAGACUUCGUUGGUGGAAGUUAAGGUUUGGUUUAAGAGAAGAGGAAUGGAAGAGGAAGUGAGAUUCGUCGUUAACGAAGAACAGAGUGAGAAAUUUGUUAUCAGAAGAAGAAGAAGAAACAGAGCAUACAGUGAAAACAGAGCAAAUCCAGCUCGAUGACCCAUCAGAGUAAAAAGCUCUGCUUUCUCACAGCAGAGAAGAAAUUGGUCGAAUCAUCCAAGCCUACUUUCUGAUAACGAUGCAGAGAAGUAGAAAACCCUCCUUUCUGUACGGAGGAAGAAGAAGGAAGAGUCAAUGGGUAAAUGGCAAAAAGGUCGGAACUUUCGUUUCCCACAUCUACUACCGAUUUGGGGAUAGGUGAUUUCUUGUCCAUUUGCGUCAUUAAUUGAUCGCAAUUUGAAAAGGGUUUCUGGGUUGACUCACUGUCUUCGUCUACAAUUGGAUUUUGACUGCUUGGGAUAGUUUUUCACUUAACUUGCGAGCUCAGCCACACAGAAGCACGUCGGUAGUUGCCAGCUGCAAAUUGCAGAGUAACGACAGGGAGGAGUACACGUCAGCAUUUCUUUCAUCCCAUCAUCAUCAUCAUCAGCAUUCAUCCGGGAUUCGUUUGUCAUCCAUGAUUGAUUUCCAG
rnacentral:lncRNA from 1 species